rnacentral:ncRNA from 1 species
GGGCACACGGGGGAUGCCUAGGCUCUCAGAGGCGAAGAAGGACGUGAUAAGCUGCGAUAAGCUACGGGUAUUGGCAAAUGCGAACUGAUCCGUAGAUUUCCGAAUGGGGCAACCUGACUAUUUGAAGAAUAGUCGUAUAAAACGCGAACGCGCUGAACUGAAACAUCUAAGUAGGCGUAGGAGAAGAAAAUAACAAUGAUUUCC